ensembl:lincRNA uncharacterized LOC102019560
GCGGGGGGAGGGGGUGAGAAUCGCCACCUCCGGCCUUGGCUUUCCCGCUCUUCCGAGCGCUCCCAUUUCUCACUUUCCCCAAAUCCGCAUUUUCCUUGGCACAGCUCUCCCGAGCACGAAGGAGAGAGAGGGAGGUGCCCGGGGGCAGCGAGAAUGACGUGCGCUGGUGCAGAGGGGGUGGGGGCUGCGGGCCGGGCUCCGUGCACGGGCUCCUAAUCCUCUUGUUUCGGAACCGUCAGCAGAUGUGGCUCCUCUCAGCCGAAUAAUCCGUUAAAGGAAUAAUAAUUUUUUUAAAAAAAGGAGAUCGACCUCACUCAACGAGGACUAGGAUCGAGAUCGGGGCUUGUAGAUUCACCGCCUUUGGUGGGGCUGGCUGAGAUGCUACGAACGGCAAACAGUCUCUUAAAAAGGAGGAAAAAAGAUGAAGACCUUGGGUGGACGCCGGAACAAAGCACCACGAGCUCUCGGGCGAGAAGGAACGCACUGGAGCGAUAGCUCCGGACGCGGACACGAGCGAUCUCCGUUGCCCAGCUACACCGGCCGUGCGCGCGGACCUCUCAGGCGAGAGGACUGUAUCGGCGAGGAGGCCGAUUCCCCAGAUCCGGUCCCCGGACCCAGGCAGCUCGCCCCUGCGGCGCGCCCGGCCGGGCUGCGCCUGGACUCAGCGAUCCAGGGACCCCAGCCACAGCGACCUAAAACUGCUGACUCCAGAGGACACCCCAAAUUCAAAGAGUGUGCUCAGAGGAUAUUGGUCCACAUUGGGAAGACAGAAACUUGGAAAAGCAUUUGGAAGGGCUCAGCCUCCUCACCCAGGCCCUGGAUCCAAGAUCCUGAUGUAGGAGAUGAUGCAACUGGGUACGGGCGCCUCAAAAAGAAAGUGCUCUCUUGCCUGUCUUUUUCUGUGCGCCCUGGUGCACGGAAGGAAGCAGGCACUUCUCAUGGCUGGUGCUCUGGAAGCUGGAAAAUAAAAGUAGAAAUCACAGCGACAGCAGAAGAUCCUCCUUUGUCUGCCUGCCCCCCUCCCCCAUUUGGAAGUAAGGCUUUCUGUGCCAUCGGGCACCCUCGUCUGCCUCCCGAGCGGCCCUGUGGCUAACAACUGCGGUGUCCGCCUCACAACCGGAUGAGGAGGAGAGAAAAUGUCAGAGCAGCUGGCUUCGCUCCCCUUCCUCCCCGGGCCACCUGGAGGCUUACCCACCAGCCUGGGAAUCCUGUGGUCAGAUUUGUGGUAGGGGGAAGUGGGCGGUGAGUGUUGUGGGGGGGUGUCUGGGACAUUGUUAAGAAGGUGUCUUACACAUAAGGCUCAAUGAAUGCCACCCAAAUUGGACGUAAUUAAAUUAGCAGCAGCUGUCCUGCUUUUCCUGCAGAAAAGCUACAAUUAUGUAUGAAGCCUCUUGGGCAAAGGCUAGAUAAGAGUGCCCCUCAAGCCAGCAAGAAGCUGAAAAAUGUUCCUAGUCCCUCUCCCCGUCUCAGCCCCUGCUGAACUCGCCCAGAUAUGUAGAGUUUUAUUUUCAAACCGUUCCCACGUGGUAAAGAGACUGCAAGCUGUGCUGCUUCCAGGUGGAAUUUCCAAAGGGAUAAACUCGGCUCUAGAAUCCUUCUGCUUCCCUGUAGAGAGCAAAGUCCCUUCUCAAAUCUUGCUCAUCACCAUCCCUGAUUCACACCUCACGCAAGGCUUUCCCUCCUGGGGUGUGCGCUCCACGAUAAAUGUUAUCAAUAAUGAGCGUCCGCCUCCUUGUACUCACCCCUUGAAAAAGUCUGUGCUGUCAGUAUUCUCUAAGAGGUGUCAGGACAAAGGAAGACUGAGGCUCCUUUAUUUCCAACGAGGGUGUGAACUGCCAGAAGUUACUUUCCCAGAGAUAUUUGUUGUUAUUGUUUAUUAUUUUACAGUUUAGAAGAGGCACUUAUUCACGGUGCAAUUUAAGGGCAGAGAGAGCACCGUCAACUGCUCAUUGUGGCCCCUUCAUUCCGGAUGCCCCCCCAUACUCAGCCCUGCAAAUGCCUCCCUCAGGUGGAACUGAUAAGAAAAUACACUGGAAGAACUCGAAACGGAUCCUGGU